CAAAUUAUUCUUCAGCUACAGCAUGUUUCCUAUGAAUUGCAAGGGAAAUGGUCCAAGAAGCAACUUCCCUACUUCAGACAUCUACAUCCAUGCUGAAGAGACAAGGAGGCAGGCAAUGAAAACCAAGAAGAAAAGGUUGUGGCGCUCAGGGGAUGUGGGAUCAGAGGAAGGCUGACGCUGCAUCCUGGAAGUCUCACUGUUUCGGUAAACUGCAAACAGGUAGGAGUAAACAAGGCUAAAUGUAAGUGUUCGGGCUCUUUCAAACCCAUGUAAGGUUUUCUAUUAGUCUAUCUUGACACCUGCUAAUAAUGGUGCAGACCAUUCUCACAGAUCAUGUUAGAACUGUUUGCUCCCUCUCACCAUGUGCUGUCUGUUACCCUCUUCCAGCUUUUUAUGAACCAUACAAUUUGUUUUUCCUAGUGGAUGACCAGUUUGACCUCUAGCCGUAACAAAGCCCUUUUCUUCUGGAGAACUGAACCCACUAUUUCAGCCCUAAUGUUGUGGGUUGAAUCAGAAUAGCUAGAUUUUUAGGGGCUUAGCAACGAAGUUGCUUGAAUGAGGGUGCCUGAUGAAAUCAAAAAGUUACCUUUACAGAGGACUGCAAGUACGAAUGAACAUGGAUGAAUGCACAGGAAAGCUUACUUAAGUUCUUCCACAAUAGAAAUCACACAAGGACUGGUCAAAGCAAAAACAUAAAUGAAAUAAAAAUUGUUCAACAAGCUUUUUCAUCAAUGAGGAACUGAGUCAUUAAACAAUACAUCAUUCAUUUUAUUUUAUUUUAUUUUAUUUUAUUUUAUUUUACAAAAUGAAGCAGUGCUUUCAUUCUUCACUGAUUGCAGUUUGGUAUCUGCUUCUUCUUUGUUCACUCAAGCUUUUGUUUAAUUAUAUGGAUAUUCUCUUGAAAAUACAGUAGAAUAAAAACACAAGGAAAAAAAAAUGAAGAAUGUAACUGCUGCAGCUAUAUAUAGUUCUUUUUCCCCUCAAAAUAAGUACUGGCUCCAUAUUGAAUAUAAUGUAAAUUUGGAGCACAGAAAUAAUGAAGUCUUUGUUUUAACAAAACAGCAUUGGUCUUAAAGGUAAACAUAGGCUAAGCUAAGGAAAGACUAUACGAACAUUGUAGGACAAAAUUUGUCGUGGGCUUUUCCACUGUCAUUCAAAUCUCAAGAAAAAUAGUUAGCAGAGGCAUUUUAUAGUAGUAAGUUUACACCUCCAAAACAGAUAGAGGGAGCCUUCUGUAUCUCCAGAUACACUAAGUAUAAUAAAUACCAUCUCUAGAAAACCUAAUAGGAAGUCAAUGUUUAAUGAAAGAUAAAGAAUACAGUAUCAUUCUGAUUAUUCUCAGAAUUACCCAAAACUGGGAAACCAUUCUGGCGACUGCAAAUCUUUAAGUAUUAGCAUAGCUUAAAGGGAAUAAAGCAACAAUUAAUGGAUGGAGAUAAUUUUCUGCAUUAGCAACAUCAAAGCAAAGAGCAAUGUCUACAGUUUAAGAAGUCAUAUAGAAACAUCAGUUAAAAAUUUUAAUUAAAUAAUAUCUAAUGAAUAUUCAAAACAAAACAGUGACAAAAAUAUUCUUCAGAGCAUAAAUGUCACAACCAUAAAAAGGCCAGUUAUAAGUGCGAGAUUAGUGACUUACUUCAGAAAAUGUGUUUUAUCAUUGUAAGUCUACUAACAUAAAUUAAUAUAAACCAAGCUAAGCUAAUGUUUUCCUGUUAUACAUUUGUUAAAAAAAUAUCAUCUUUACCAUUUUACUUAGCCUACAAUGUAGAAAAAAUCAGUCCAACAACGUAGUCCUUUACAUUCACAUAAAGCCUAAAUGCAUUAGAGUCACGCCUCAUCACUAAAUGAAGAUUUUCAGGAGCUCAGAUUCCUUAUGGGAUUGUGGAGAGUGGUUUCUAGAUACAUUUUUGAACUUUUAUCUACAGGAAAACCUAAUUAUUAUGAAACCUUAAUACUGUUUUAAUACAUUUGUUUUAAACUAUAUACUGUAGGAGAAAAGCCAAGCACAUCCUCAGCUGCCCUUUUAUUGCUUCUGCAGUAACAGCCUAAGUAGCCAGGUUGGCCAAGGAGUACAUCUGUGACUGAAUAUUUUGCUAUGCUUUGGAAUGUGUGUGAGUUUAUAGAAAUGUAUUAUUUCAUGGUCCACAUUAGUAGAUAAUCUGUCAGCUUCUACAGGCGAUCUAGGUCCUUAUUUGAAGAGAUAAUUCAUUGUAACUUCAGAUACAGUAAGGAUAUGUCAGAUGCCUCUAUUGCAGUGUGCACAAACUAAUUAAAUCAUGACAUAUAUUAAAAAAUUUAUUUUUCUUGGACCAAUGUGAUCAAUAUGGAAGAAAAUAUAUGUAUUUAAUGUUUAUUGUUGUUUACUACCUGUGAAAACAAAUAUUCAAUAUUGUAGAAAUAUAGUAUGAAAUGUUUUGGGAUGAUAUUCUGGUUCUUUUUUUUUUCCUUUGAACUCUUCAAGUCAGUUGAAAUCCACAUCAGGAAAGGAAUCUUACAAAUUCAUGUCACCUUUGAGAAGUACAUUUUUCUCUUGGUUAAUCCAUUUGACUAUGAAACAAUAUAUAGGCAACAGUUUACAGUUAUGAAAAGUUGCUCUUAGUCUGUAAGGCUGUGUACAAGGCAACAAAAAUCAAUUAAUUAAUUAAUUCAAGAGAAUAAGUUGGGCAGCUCAAUCUUUAAAGUCCAUAAAGUUUUAAAAGGAGAAGAAGAACAAAAAUGAGAAAAAUGUAAAAAGUAACUGAUAUCAUCUACCUGUGCUUGUGUAAAACUUUUGACACUGUCCUACAUGAUAUCCUUGUCUCUAAAUUGGAGAGACAUGGAUUUUACAGAUGGAACACGUCACAGAUAAGGAAUUGGUAGGAUGGUUCCACUCAGAGAACUUUGGUCAACAGUUCAAUGUUGAGGUGGAGACCAGUGGCAUUCCCUGAGGGUCAGUAUUGGCAGAUGUACUAUUUAAUAUCUUUGUUGGUGACAUGGAUGGUGGGACUGAGCAUACCCUCAGCAAGUUUUCCAGCAACAUCAAGCUACAUGAUGCAGUCAACACGCUGGAAGGAAGGAAUGGCAUCCAGACAGACCCUGACAGAAUCAGAGGUAUGCCGAUGUGAACUUUAUGAGAUUCAACAAUGCCAAGUUCAAGGUUCUCCAUCUGUGUUGGGGUAAUCCUAAAUAUGAAUGCAUGCUUGAUGGAGAAUAGAUUGAGAGCAAUUUAGAGGAGAGGGACUUGAAGGUGUUGUUUGAUGAGAAACUCAGCAUGAGCCAUCAAUCUUGCUUGCAGCCCAGAAACCUAAACAUAUCCUGGACUACAUCAAAAGAAGGGUUUCCAGCAGGUUGUGAAAGUUUAUAUGUCUUACAGACUAUGGAACCUUUCUCUUUGCCUCGGAUGAAAUCCACUGAUUCCAAGAAAAUGAAUACAUUAUUUGUGGAAGCAGGAAAGUGAUGAAUCUGGAACUAGUAAUGUGCUACUCGUUUUGAAGUCCUCAUGACCUAGAAUGCUUGCACUGACAUAAGAAAGAGAACAAAGAUUUGUAUUGGUUUAAGCUGAAUAUCAAACUACACUUUAAGCUGUAAGGCACUUAAACUGGCAAACAAACAAGGGCUAAAGGCUGAAAGACCAGUUCCUAAGUUUGGCCCUAGGCCACGUCUGUGAAAAUGUUCUGAAGCUAUUCAGAAGAGACAAAUAAGAAGAGAUAAAUGUGACAAAUCUCAGGAACACUUUCCUUUUGUAACCGCUUUUGGAGCGAUGUGUCAAUAAAAACAAAAGUUUCAAAUUGGAUUACCGCUACCUACUGGCAGGGAUUAGGUAAAAUGUUAAGACAAAUGGGUAUAUUGAGUAAUAGCCUUCAAUUUUGUGAAAGAAACAAGCUCUACAGUUCUUUUUAUUUAAUUAAUAAAUCAACAAGUUACAACUGAACAAGUGUAGCUCAAAACACUUCUUUAGGUAACACAUACAAGUCUGUACAGUCUCUUGCUGCCUUUGGCUUUAUCUAGUACCCAAAUGAAUAAACAGCCAAAACAUUAGUAUUUCCUCAGAGGGGUGGGGGGGGGGGGGAAAGAAUGAAAGAGUAAACCUUUGAUCCAGAUUUGGCUGAAGAUUGAAUACAGCUGUGACCACAGCAGUUUUCAAUUUUUUUUUUAUUACUCCCAAGUUCUGACAAAUGACUGUGUGCAUUCCCUGUAUAUAGUAGUUUCCAUCAUCUUCUUUCUUUGACUUUUUUUAAUGUAAAUGAGCCAGAGGGCUUUAAUGUGAUUACAAAUAAAGCAGAGCGAACUUACUCAACACUUGCAGUAAUAGUGGACUGAAACACUAUUUUUAAUUCAAUAAAAAUUUCAGAAAUAGUUGCAUUUUCAGGCUUGCAAAGCAAAACUUUUUCUGACAGAGAGAGAACUUGUCAUUUAUCUAGAAGUAUGUACCAAUGCAUUUAAAAGUGUUAACAAAGAUGCAGUCAGCAAAACAAUGCACAAUUAUUUGGCAAUUAGAAAGCAAUACAUUAAAGUACAGUUUAGAAUAGCUUUUAUGUUGAUAAUAGUGAAGGUAGUGUAGGAGAAAUAUUUUAGGGAACAUCUCCAGUUUGAAAAAUGAAGUUUGGGUAAAUAAGACUAUCCGUGUACUUUUUAAGUUAAUACUUCAUGACUCUUCCGUGGGUUUUUCUGCAUUUCGGUUAGUCUGGACCUGGUUUUGCUCAGUAGGAUUAAAUGUCACAGUUACGUUGCAUUUCUACAGUGAUAUUCCUGCUGAGUUACGUUUUUUUAGGUUUUCUGACGAGAUGAAUUGGAAUCCUGCUACCUCCCUAUUAGUAAUAAUGGACAAUUAUCUGACCUGGACAGGGAGAUGUCCUUAAAACGGUGCUUGUGGGAGAGAAUGUUAAAGAUGUAAACGCAAAUGAUGUUGAGAGCAAGAGUGAAAUGAUUGGAAAUGCCUCUAGAUACAGUAAAAAGGGAAUUUGAGUACCUAUGAUGGAGAAGUGUCUGCUUCAUGAAUAUAGACAGCUUAUUUUCUUCAAAAUCCUUUUUUUCACCUUCUUCUCAAAAUGAUAGCUGUAUGUGUUGUCUUGUGUGAACUUGGAUAUUUAUUUUCAUUUUAACAUGGUCCUUGGAAAGAGUUGAAAAUAAGAUAUAUUUUGUGGAGAUGUUUGCUGAGUAGUUAUCUUCUCUUAUACUGUCAAACUGGUUUGGAAAGACAGAUCCUGAGUGCUCAAGGAGAUCUUGCAUCUUUUAGAACAACAAACUUAAAUGUCAAGAGUGCACUAUUGAUCAAAACAUCAGCAGGCUGACAACGCAGCAGCCACUUGACAAUAGAGAAAAAAAUUACUCCUGUCCAUGCUAUGUAAAGCCCUUCAUCAGAUUUUCAGUCUUCCUAGAAGUAUACUUAUCAUCUAGCUCUGGCAGACAAUAAGAAGAUGUGCUAUGAAUAAACUUACUGUCACUUGCAAUUAUGCUCUUCUUGGACUAUUAAAAAAGCAGACAGCAGUCUGGCAGAAGCCAGUCUCCGACAUCUUGAUAACCUGACCAAACUGCCUAAGAACUAAAGGCUGGCCAUCAAGGCUAAGAACUGAUAUGUUUCUACAUGAGUUCCACUGCUGAUAUAUUACUCAGCAUGCCACUAUGAAUCACGACCAGAAAUGCAACAGCUCCUUUUCUAGGGCUUCACUUGGCCUCCCGGCUGACCAGUUGUGACUGCUACGCAUCUCCACCUUCAGCUUCUUUCAUGUCUUCCUCAUAAGCCACCUCAGAACCUGUUUACAGUAUUAAAUUUCUGUGAUUACUGUCCACUUGCUUGGGUGCUGAGCACAUUCCUGCCUUGCCUUUGGCUUGGCUUUUUCUACUUGACCAGUGUCUUUUGUGAUGCUAGCCCUUACCUCCAGACUACAUCAGCCUAAUCAGACCAGUUUCUGCGGUUGCCUAUGCUUUGAUUAUGAUUGUUUAACAUCUACUGCAUUCACCGAGAAUCUUCAACUUUUAAUUAACGCUUUCCAUAUGGCUUUCAUUUAAAUAAAAAUAAAGUGUUUUUAUUCCUCCUGAAGCACAUUCAGAUGUAUGUUUUACGAAGCAGUAAUUUCCUUUUUAAUUGCACAAUAUCAUGCUCAAGCCAUCCUCUGAAAGCUCACUUUGGACACAGAGCGUAACAAUGGAAUAUCUCAGAUUGUUUUAAGUAAGCAAGCAUAUUGAUUAUUGUACCGUCAGCCUGGGAGCUAGAGUGUCCCCUGUGCCUCACAAAUGCUAUGAAAUUCAAUCACACAGAAAUAAGAUGAUGGAUAUUUCCUAUAAUAAUCACUGUCCUAGGCAUAAGCCAUCUUCAGCCAUUCUUCUCUCUUCCAGAGACAUGUCACUCCUUGCAGUGAGUCAUCUGAUUGUUACAUUUUAGUCUAAAAAUCCUGACUGAUCCUAAUGCUACCAUUCUGCGAAUAGAAUCAGCCUCUCAAUAUGAGACACCAUUCCAUAGAUCAAUAUGGCAUACAUGUUACCAGCAGCAAGAUACAUUAAAGAAGAUAAAUGACUCUAAAAAGAAUGGAAACAGAGGGAUUUCUUGGAAUUUUGCCCAAGUACUCUGACAGAUUUGUCAGUGCUAGGCUAUAUAUUACAACAAUUUUAAAACACAGAGAAGAGGACCCACAGGUUACUGUAUUGUGUGUCCUCCUAGGAGACACAAAGAUAUUCUUGCCCAAAGCCGUGUAUCUUUUGCUAUGUUCCUUUUCUGCCAGGACCUGAUUAAUCUGGGAGAGAUAACCAGCUCUGAUUACGCUCUAUUAGAAGAAUGAUGCUGCCUUCAUCAUAUCUGCAG
ensembl:lncRNA